AAAAAAAAGUCGGAUGCCAUUACAGAAGCUAUUACUAGUGGAACAAAUCAAGUCAAUCAGUUGGUUGCUCCAGCAGUUACAGAUGAUGUUGUCAGAGGAAAAAGGCAGGCUGAUCAGUUGGUUACUCUAGUCAUUACAGAUGCUGUUGUCAGAGGAGAAAGGCAAGCUAAUCAGUUGGUUACUCCAGUCAUUACAGAAGCUAUUGGAAAUAGAAGAACACGACAAACCAGUCAGCCGGUUGCCCCAGUCAUUUUAGAAGCUAUUGGCAACAGGACAACCUAGGUCAAUCAGUUUGUUGCUCCAGUCGUUACAUUGCCAAGACAACAAUUACAAAACAAUAUUCAACAGAAGCUUAGCAAGAUAACUCUGCCCACAAGCCAGGCCAGCGUCCCGAUUGGUGCUACUGGCCCAAUGGUUGUAUUGAAGCUAGAAAUCAGGAAUGCAAAUGAGUCUUCCCAUGCUAUGUCGAGUGCUGCUUACAGGAGGGCACUGUUAAUCAAGCAGCAAGAGAAGCUUCUACAACAGUAUAAGUUGGUGAAUUCGCAAGCGUAGCUUCACAUCAAGGGUCCUGCUCUGUUUGAGGAUGAUGAAGCGCCAGAGACAGAGCCACGGGGAACAAGGUGCGCGCUCUGCAAGCUCGACCUUGCAUUUGAGGCUCAUGGGGGCGCCACCCACGAUGCCUCUGCUCCCCCUAUCAUCGCUGUCCUUAGAUGCCACCAUACAUUCCACAGCAGCUGCAUCAAGGACGUCUACGGCCUCGCCGAGCCUGCCCAGUGUAUUGCGUGCCUCGACAGCGAGACAACACACUGA
rnacentral:rRNA from 1 species